GAGGGGAGGUCCAACCAACGGGAACUGCUAACUCUCGCAUCUGAGUAUAAAACCUCAGUCCCCUUG
rnacentral:tRNA from 1 species